UCGGGAAUAUUGCGCAAUGGAGGAAACUCUGACGCAGUGACGCCGCGUAUAGGAAGAAGGUUUUCGGAUUGUAAACUAUUGUCGUUAGGGAAGAGAAAGGACAGUACCUAAGGAGGAAGCUCCGGCUAACUACGUGCCAGCAGCCGCGGUAAUACGUAGGGAGCGAGCGUUAUCCGGAAUUAUUGGGUGUAAAGGGUGCGUAGACGGGAAGAUAAGUUAGUUGUGAAAUCCCUCGGCUUAACUGAGGAACUGCAACUAAAACUGUUUUUCUUGAGUGCAGGAGAGGUAAGUGGAAUUUCUAGUGUAGCGGUGAAAUGCGUAGAUAUUAGGAGGAACACCAGUGGCGAAGGCGACUUACUGGACUGUAACUGACGUUGAGGCACGAAAGUGUGGGGAGCAAACAGG
rnacentral:rRNA from 1 species